rnacentral:lncRNA from 1 species
CUUGCUUCUACCAAAGGAAAGCAGCCUGUGAAAAAGGCCUCAAAGGCGGAGGAGAAAGAUGCUUCCAGGCACCAUCAGGCCAUUGAGAAGCAGAUAGCCAAGGUGCAUCAGGCCUCUUCUUGCUUAACGUCGGCACAAGCUACUUCUCCAGCAUCACUAAUCAGUGAAGUGGAUUUGGAGGAGCCUGGACCUUCUUCCAGACCUGGUAUCCAGACCUGGUCCCCUGAUGUGUCCAGAAGAGGUGCUUCUCCCAUCCCUUCUGAGGGCGGCAGUCAGGUCGAUGAACUUCAUGGAGAAGCAGCACCUUGGCAUGAGUGUAGUAGACAAUAGACAGGGGGUGGAACCCUCCUUUCCUCCUGCUGCCACUGGAGCCAGACCAGCUGACCCUUCUGAUUCGGAUGUCCCAAUUAACUUGCAAAUCCUGAUAGACAAGGCCAUCAGGAGGGCAUCUCAAGAAAGGCUUGCAGAAGGCGACCGUGCGUCUGCUGCUUCUGAUCUAUCAGAAAGGAGGUCCCGGGUUCGUGAAGCUCUCUUAUCAGAAAGAGGUUCAUUUAUCCAGGAUCCAGUUUCUGGGUUGGCUGAAGACUUCGCUCCUGUUACCUCAGUGGCUCCAUCCUUGGUGGGAGAACCUGAUAGGCUGGAAUCCGAUAUGUCAGCGGAUGAAGGCCCGUCUCAUGAGGUUCCUGUGUUUACGGGUUGUUUUAAACACACCUUGUUUAGUCCCUUGUUGUUCAAGGCUAGGAACGCUGCAAAUCUCAAAGGCGCAGAUGAUGAGGUAGCGGCCUCACUUCCUCCUGAGGAGUCAGAUGUUCUGUUUGACGAGCCGGAAGUGAGAAAAGAAGUGGUUCCAUCUCCAAAACUGUUCCUGAAGGUGAUCAGGAAACAGCUUGAAGCUCCUGCCACAGGGCCCAAUCCUCUGGCCUCUGACCACAGGUUCUUUAACGUGGCGCCCGAACUCACCAAGAUGCUUCAGGUUCCCACGGUUGAUGUUCCAGUCGCAGCUUUGGCUUCCUCCUCGUCAGCUCCUUCGGAUCCGGAGGAAGUCCUCAAGGCAGAGGAAAAGCAUGUGGAACAGUCACUACAGAGAUCUCAUCUGGCUGCUGCCUGGGCAGUCAAGGCUUCUACGGCGGCAUCUUUCUUUACUAGGACAUCGCUCAAGUGGCUGAAGCAGUUGCGGGAUAGAAUUCCCUCAUCAGAUGUCCGUGCCCACCAGGACAUCAAUAAGAUUAUGGCAGCUACAGAAUUCACGGCUGAUGCCACGCUGCAUAAGGUGGCACUGCUGCCGACAUCGAAUACCAACCGCCCUGUGCGAACUCAUAGACAG